AAAAAUACUUAAAAGUUGAUCUACAAGGACCAUCCUUUGAAUACUAAACUGUGGACAAUCAAAAAAUAUAUGUUCAAGGGUUUCAUCAGCACUAUUGCAAUAUCUACAAGUUGAAGAGUCAAAAACACCAAUCCUAAAAAGAAAAACCUUGCAACAGAUAAGAAUUAAUAUUGGCAGUCCUGUUAUUAGUGUGCCUCAGUUUAACAAGAAGUGGAUGAUUACUAAUGGAGAGCAACCUUGCAAAAAAUUUUGAUUGUACCUGUAGUGAUAAUAAAAUUGAGGAUAGUUUUUCCAGAUUUACAUUAUUGAAUGCCCCUACAAUGUCUAAAAAAACUCCAACUAAUACUUUAUUCUCGGAACGAGCAUCAUGGAUAUCCAGACAGAGAUGACGUAAACUCUCACAAGCAGAACGACCACAACGAAAGCCGAACUGAUUGUAAGGAACUAAGCGUAAUGGGACGAUAAGAAUCAGCCAAAUUUGAGUCUUUGCCAGGUUUUAAUAUUGGUACCAGACAAUCAGUUUUCCAAUCCUCUGGGAUAAUAGAAGACGACCAUAGACUAUUUAACAAACUUAGGAAAAUAGAUAGAUUUUGAACAUUUAAAAGUUUAAACAUUCUAUAGGAAAGCCAAUCCAGGCCACAUGAGGAAUCUUUUCUAGAAGCUAAUGCAGACUUUAACUCUUGUAAAGUAAAACGACCAAUCAUGUAUGAAUUAUCACUAUUUACUCCAAGAACAUUAUCUAUACUUAUCUGUUGUGAAACAGUAUCAGCCCAAAUGCGACUUAUUGAUGUCAAACGAUUUAUUGAGGAGCAAAAUUCAGACCAACUUUUGCGACGUUCUUCUUUUAGAGUACGUUUUUUGAAGGCUUGUGCACGUUUGAAAAUAAUGUAAUUUUGACUAUUAAGACUAGCUUUGAAAUUAAUGUACGCGUUCUUGCAGUCUUCUACUACUUUUGAACAUUUGGCAUUCCACCAAGGUUGCUGUGAAAAGGAAUGUUGUUCAAGGAAAUAGAGGGUUCAUGUUCGUCUCUUACGAGAGUAAAUCUUGUGAUAGUGGGCAGAUGAUAACUGCCUAAAGAUUCCUGAUGAACUUGCCAUUCACAAGAAAGAAACAAAGAAGAAGAUACCAUAGUUAAAUCUAGACUGUUCGGUUUCCAAAUAUGAGAGCCUAUAGUUGUUGGUUGACCAUUAUUUAAAAGUAUUAAGUCAUUGUCAUCCAUGGAAUCCAUAAUAGCUCUGCCCCGAGAAUCUAUACGACUACAACCCCAGAAAGUGUGAUGGGCAUUAAAAUCGCCUGCAAUUAUUAACGGUUUCGGAAUAGUAUACAAUAAACGAUCUAACUUCGCCUUUUCAAAACCAGGAAAACUAUUACCAGGACUAUAAAAACUAACCAAAGAAAUGGAUUUACGUUUUAGUUUAAUAACAAUUACUACAUUUUGUAACGAAUCAUCGUAAAAAGUAUCGAGCUUAGAGAAAUUUAUACCAUUUUUAAUUAAUAUUGCUACGCCGUUAUGGUCAUUACCGCAGUCAUUCCUAAUAAUGGUAUAACCACGUAUAUUAAAUUGAAUGCUUGGCUUGAGCCAAGUUUCUGAAAUAAGAGCAACAUGUAUAUUAUUUUGGUAUAAAAAAUUUUGGAACUCAAGUCUGUUACUUAACAGACUUUGAGCGUUCCACUGUACAAUAUUUAAGAUUCGAUGGUUGAAUGUGACGAUUUGCUAUUUUUAUUCUGAAUGGUUUCUUUAAUAGCUGAGCUAAUAAAUUGUGAACUUAUACUAA